AUUAUUCAAGUAAAUUUUUCCAAGACCAGUCUACAUGCUUGUGUUUGCCUCUUAUUUGAGCCUUUUCUUUAUAGUUGUUCUGCUCAUUCUCACUCUCAAGUAAAUGUAAUGAUGAGUUGUCAAGACCCUCUGCUCUUUAAAUUGUUAUAUAUUGGAAUAGUCAUAGAUGAGCAACUGAAAGUACUUCAAAGUCUAAUAUGUAAAGGAUUAAGGGAGAGAGCAGGCUGAUUCCAAGUACCAACAGACACUUGUAGAUGCUGUAUAACUCUAGCUACAAGUAAUGAUGAGUUGUUGAUAAACCAAAUAAUUCAAAAUUCUCAUUUUAUGAAUUAGAUGAAUGACAUUGUGGAUGUAUUUCAAUGGCUGUUGUUUCAAAGUCAGAUUGACCUAAUGAGCUUAUUUACAGUACCCAUGGAAGCUUGUAGAUGUUUGCAUCAACAACAGGUGACUGCAACACUCUAGGGUUAUACAAUUUGUAGUUAUUCAAGGAUGAAAAAUGUUCAUAUUCUCAUCUAUUGAGUUAUCCAUUUUUCCAAAAGUGGAAUAACUUCAAAAGUUGACAUUUUAAACACAGAUGGAGAAAGCAGUCUGAUUCCAAUUACCAAAGGAAGCCUGUAGAUUGCUGUUUCAAUAACAGGUGGCAGCAUCACUCCAAGUGAAAGUAUCGACGAGUUAUUGAGGAACCAAAUGAUUCCAGAUUCUCAUCUAUUAAGUGAGCCAUAGAUUCAAAUCUGGAAUCAUUUUGAAAGCCUAUAUUUAGGCUGAGUACCACUGGAAGCUUUUAGAGUGCUUUAUCACACACAGGUGAGUACACCACUCUAGGUAAAUGUGUUGAUGACUUAGUAAGGCACCUAAUGAUUCCAGAUUUAAAUCUAUUGAAUGCACUAAAUAUGCAAAUCUGGAAAUAAAUUAAAAGCUAGCAAUGUAAAGACAGAGGGUGAGAGUGGUCUGAAGAACCUAAAAAGUAAAUUCCCACAUGGUGUCUGCACAAAUCAGGGCAACAUUUAAGACCAUCUGUUCUUAACUUUCAUACUGAGAAUAUUGAUUUGCCUUUGUGGUCACAGCAAAAGGUUUGGACACAUUUCAGCCCAUAUGGAGUUUUCUAGCACCAGCACUGUGAGUUAAUUUUUCCCAUUCCAUAGAUUUAUGCACAGGAUGUGAAUUGGGGAAUCAGAAUAGGAAUCAGAAUCGGCUUUAUUGCAAGGUAUGUGUACACAUAUGAGGAAUUUGACUAUGGAUUUUACAAUGCUCACCAUGUGUUUACUUAUAAAAUAAUAAAAUAAGACAGGCUAUAGCGGAGACAACGCAAAUAUACACACAAUAAACAAACACAGUCAUGACAUUUGCCUGCGUUCAAAGUUCAAAUUGAAGGUUGUAGACUGUUGCAUCCAGGACAGGUAGAUGCAUCACUGUAGUGAAAUUUGAUGAUGAUUAAUAAGGGCACAAAAAAUUCAAAAUUCUCAAUUGCAAAAGAUGGAUGACAUCUUGGGUGCACUUCAAAAAAACGGAAUGGAAUUGGUUGAUUUCACGUACCAAUAAAAGCUUAAACACUGCUUGAUGACAUAGAUUCAUGGGAAAUGGUCCACUAGAAAAGCCUGGAAUUAACAUUGUAAAAUAAUUAUUUAAAACUCAUACAGAAUGUGCAGGUGUUGUGUAUUUAAUAUUUUAGUAACCAUUAACAUGAAACAUAAAACCAGUUCACAAUUUUCUACUUCCUUUGUCACAGUAAGUAGAAAAAAUAAAAAAUGAAACUAGUUUCCAUGUUUAAAUUUAAUCAACAAUGUUCUUACCUUCCGUGAUUCAAUCUAUAGUAUAAUGAAUGCAUGUAGAUGAAAACAUGGACUUCCUCUGUCAACAGGAAGUAGAAGCUGCAGCAGGAGCACGGACCGCAUGUUCAACCAGAUUCAGCAAUUACUGAAUAGAAAUGGAGCCCCUCACUGCCAAGACCAAAGAUAGUGUGUCAGCGCCCCCAACUGAGCAGGUCCCAGGGAAAGAGUCAGAACCCGUGAACCUCCUGCAGCAGACUCCCAACCGGAUGCCACAAAUGCAAGAUAAGGCUGAACAAACCCCACCGGGACUGGAGCCAGGAUAUUUUCCAAUUCCUACGAUCCAGGAGACACCAGAGUUGGUACCAGAAACACCAAAAGACCAGAUGCCAAGCAGAGGAGGUGAAGAAGCCCUAGCCAGGCCGGACUUGGCAUGUGCUCAAAAACCCAUGAUGCAGGUGGAACCAGGAGUUUGUGCCACAAACCGCAUCAGAAGAGGUGUUUAGGGUUUGUUCAUGUCCCUUGUUACAGGACAGUAAAAAACAGUGCCCGAAGGAUGUGAUUAGCUCUGGUUGGGAAUAAUCAUGUUUAAGAGUUUUGAGUAAUAUGUUCUUUUAUCUUUAAAAGGAGAAAGAAUGCUGACGCUUUGAUUUGUUUGAUUUGAUUUUUAUGUUUGUAAUUUUAGUCUUUUCGUUACAUAGUCGUUCACACACACAUGCUCAUACAUACACACACAAGCACACAGGUGCACAUGCACAGACAUGCACACAUAAGUUUUGACUUUUUUUAAAUAAUGCAAUAAUAAUGUAAAUUUAACCUAAAAACAUAUCUCAGCAGAAUUUAAUUUGCAGGUGGACCCAGGAGUUUAUGCCACGAACCCCAUCAGAAGAGGGGUUCAGGGUUUGUUCAUGUCCCUUGUUACAGGACAGUAAAAAACAGUGCCCGAAGGAUGUGAUUAGCUCUGGUUGGGAAUAAUCAUGUUUAAGAGUUUUGAGUAAUAUGUUUGUUUAUCUUUAAAAGGAGAAAAAACGCUGACGCUUUGAUUUGUUUGAUUUGAUUUUUAUGUUUGUAAUUUUAGUCUUUUUGUUACAUAGUCGUGCUCAUACAUACACACACAUAAGUUUUGACUUUUUUUAUAAUGCAAUAAUGUAAAUUUCUCAGCAGAUCUCAGCAGAAUUUAAUUUAAUAAAUUUUACAGACCAGUCAA